AUUCUGACGCGUCCCAAAUAAGACGAAAUGCGCAUCCUGGAU
rnacentral:hammerhead_ribozyme from 1 species